rnacentral:rRNA from 2 species
GGCAAAGUUAAUAAGGGCGCACGGUGGAUGCCUUGGCAUUAAGAGCCGAAGAAGGACGUGACUAACGACGAUAUUCUAGGGGGAGCAGUAAGUACGCAUUGAUCCCUAGGUCUCCGAAUGGGGAAACCCACUAUGUUAUGCAUAGUAUCCGUAAGUGAAUACAUAGCUUACGCGAAGGUAACGCAGAGAACUGAAACAUCUAAGUACCUGCAGGAAGAGAAAGUAAAAACGAUUUCCUAAGUAGCGGCGAGCGAACGGGAAACAGGCCAAACCAAGAAGCUUGCUUCUUGGGGUUGUAGGACUGCAACGUGGACUUAAAGUCUAUAGAAGAAUUACCUGGGAAGGUAAGCCAAAGAGAGUAAUAGCCUCGUAUUUGAAAUAGACUUUAUACCUAGCAGUAUCCUGAGUAGGGCUGGACACGCGAAAUCCAGUUUGAAUCCGGGAGGACCAUCUCCCAAGCCUAAAUACUCCUUAAUGACCGAUAGUGAACCAGUACCGUGAGGGAAAGGUGAAAAGAACCCCGGGAGGGGAGUGAAAUAGCACCUGAAACCGUGUGCCUACAAGAAGUUCGAGCCCGUCAAUGGGUGAGAGCGUGCCUUUUGUAGAAUGAACCGGCGAGUUACGUUAUGAUGCGAGGUUAAGCUGAAGAGGCGGAGCCGUAGCGAAAGCGAGUCUGAAUAGGGCGCUUUAGUAUCAUGAUGUAGACCCGAAACCUAGUGACCUAUCCAUGAGCAGGUUGAAGGUGCGGUAAGACGCACUGGAGGACCGAACCAGGACACGUUGAAAAGUGUUUGGAUGACUUGUGGAUAGCGGAGAAAUUCCAAACGAACUGGGAGAUAGCUGGUUCUCUCCGAAAUAGCUUUAGGGCUAGCGUCGCAAUUUAAGUGUAUUGGAGGUAGAGCACUGUUUGGAUGAGGGGCCCAUCUCGGGUUACCAAUUUCAGAUAAACUCCGAAUGCUAAUACACAUGUGCGGCAGUCAGACUGCGAGUGCUAAGAUCCGUAGUCGAAAGGGAAACAGCCCAGACCACCAGCUAAGGUCCCAAAAUAUAUGUUAAGUGGAAAAGGAUGUGGGGUUGCACAGACAACUAGGAUGUUAGCUCAGAAGCAGCUAUCAUUCAAAGAGUGCGUAAUAGCUCACUAGUCGAGUGACCCUGCGCCGAAAAUGUACCGGGGCUAAACAUAUUACCGAAGCUGUGGAUUUAAUAUUAAUUAAAUGGUAGGAGAGCGUUGUAAUCAGCGAUGAAGGUAUACCGUGAGGGGUGCUGGAGCGAUUACAAGUGAGAAUGCCGGUAUGAGUAGCGCAAGAUAAGUGAGAAUCUUAUCCACCGUAAGACUAAGGUUUCCAGGGGAAGGCUCGUCCGCCCUGGGUUAGUCGGGACCUAAGGCGAGGCCGAAAGGCGUAGUCGAUGGACAACAGGUUGAUAUUCCUGUACUAGUAUUGUUAGUGAUGGAGGGACGCAGUAGGCUAAAGGGAGCCAGUUAAUGGAUUCUGGUCUAAGCAGUGAGGUGUGGAAUGUGUCAAAUGCAUUUUCCUUUAACAUUGAGCUGUGAUGGGGAAGCAACUACGGUUGCGAAGCCCUUGAUGUCACACUGCCAAGAAAAUCUUCUAGCGUUUAAUUCAAUACUACCCGUACCGCAAACCGACACAGGUAGUCGAGGCGAGUAGCCUCAGGUGAUCGAGAGAACUCUCGUUAAGGAACUCGGCAAAAUGACCCCGUAACUUCGGGAGAAGGGGUGCUGUAGAAAUACAGCCGCAGUGAAAAGAUCCAAGCAACUGUUUAUCAAAAACACAGCUCUCUGCUAAACCGCAAGGUGAUGUAUAGGGGGUGACGCCUGCCCGGUGCUGGAAGGUUAAGAGGAGGGGUUAGCUUAGGCGAAGCUCUGAAUUGAAGCCCCAGUAAACGGCGGCCGUAACUAUAACGGUCCUAAGGUAGCGAAAUUCCUUGUCGGGUAAGUUCCGACCCGCACGAAAGGCGUAAUGAUUUGGAUACUGUCUCAACGAGAGACUCGGUGAAAUUUUAGUACCUGUGAAGAUGCAGGUUACCCGCGACAGGACGGAAAGACCCCAUGGAGCUUUACUGCAGAUUGAUAUUGAGUACCUGUGAAGCAUGUACAGGAUAGGUAGGAGACUUUGACCUUGGGACGCUAGUUUCAAGUGAGUCGCUGUUGGGAUACUACCCUUGCUUCAUGGUUGCUCUAACCCACACGCAUAAUCGGCGUGGGAGACAGUGUCUGUCGGGCAGUUUGACUGGGGCGGUCGCCUCCUAAAGAGUAACGGAGGCGCCCAAAGGUUCCCUCAACAUGGUUGGAAAUCAUGUGUAGAGUGUAAAGGUAUAAGGGAGCUUGACUGCGAGAGCUACAACUCGAGCAGGUAGGAAACUAGGGCUUAGUGAUCCGGUGGUACCGCAUGGAAGGGCCAUCGCUCAACGGAUAAAAGCUACCCUGGGGAUAACAGGCUUAUCUCCCCCAAGAGUUCACAUCGACGGGGAGGUUUGGCACCUCGAUGUCGGCUCGUCGCAUCCUGGGGCUGUAGUCGGUCCCAAGGGUUGGGCUGUUCGCCCAUUAAAGCGGCACGCGAGCUGGGUUCAGAACGUCGUGAGACAGUUCGGUCCCUAUCCGUCGCGGGCGUAGGAAAUUUGAGAGGAUCUGCCCUUAGUACGAGAGGACCGGGGUGGACUUACCGCUGGUGUACCAGUUGUUCCGCCAGGAGCACCGCUGGGUAGCUAUGUAGGGAAGGGAUAAGCGCUGAAAGCAUCUAAGUGCGAAGCCCACCUCAAGAUGAGAUUUCCCAUUCUUUAUGAAUUAAGAGCCCUGAGAGAUGAUCAGGUUGAUAGGCUGGAAGUGGAAGUCCUGCGAGGGAUGGAGCGGACCAGUACUAAUAGCUCGAGGACUUUACCAA